AAAAAAAAAAGAGUGCUAUAUGCACUAUUCAUAGAAACAUUCAUUUUUAAGCCGUUAUUCAUGAGAAAAUGAAUUUGUUCUAAUACAUUGAUGGGAAUCUGAAAUGAAAGCUACAGGUCAAAACUAAAGAAGUGGGAGCUUAAUAAAAUUCUAACUUGGUGUAGUUGUGCAAAUGUUUUUACUGAAAAGGGCAUUUAAGCAUAUAAUGUAAGAAUAGUGAGGCAAUCAAGACACAUAAAAAGGACAUAUUUGGAAAUGAUAUUCCAAAUGAUGCUUGGAUCCUUGAAGGUCGCAGAUCCCUUCAUGACUCUGUUGAAAGCUCUAGAUCCCUCUCCAGAAGAAUAUACAUUCACACUUACUACACUCAUUUUUGUACACUUCAAGGAUUUUGGGAUCCUCUGAAACCUAAGCAUGGCUACCUCUUCAAACCAACACCAGGUCUCUGCUGUGUUUUUAUAUGUAGAGAAAAAAAGUAUAGUUCACUUGGCCGUUCACUGUUUAUGGACAUUGAAUUGGUUCAUGUGCAACAUUUUGCAAAUAAAGAAUGAAUUUUUUGUGAGAACACUAAAGAUAAGUUAACAUUUAAGAGAGGUUACUGUAUACUGGCAGUCUCCUAAGUGCUUACAUAUAUAAUAGACAUAUUCCUUACUCUAAUCCUAAGAGGAAGGUAUUAUUAUUACCAUCUCUGCUUUUUUUUUUUUU